rnacentral:Y_RNA from 1 species
GGCUAAUCCAAAGGUAGCAAGUUAUCUUGAUUGUUGCAGUCAGUUGUGGCUUGAAGUCCUUGUUAUACACUUCCCCCCUUACUGCUGUACUGACUAAUCCAAC